rnacentral:rRNA from 1 species
CCCUUAGACGUUCUGGGCCGCACGCGCGCUACACUGACCAGUGCAACAAGCAUCCGUCCUUGGCCGACAGGCCCGGGCAAUCUUUGAACGCUGGUCGUGAUGGGGAUAGACUUUUGCAAUUUUUGGUCUUCAACGAGGAAUUCCUAGUAAACGCAAGUCAUCAACUUGCAUUGAUUACGUCCCUGCCCUUUGUACACACCGCCCGUCGCACCUACCGAUUGAAUGGUCCGGUGAAAUCCUCGGAUCGAGCCGUGGGGCAACUCCGGUUCGAGAAGUUGAUUAAACCUUACCAUUUAGAGGAAGGUGAAGUCGUAACA